rnacentral:RNase_P_RNA from 1 species
GCGGAGGGCUGGAUGAUCGCGGGGCGGGCAACCGUUUCGAGGAAAGUCCGGACUCCCGUUGGCAAGGGUGCCGGGUAACGCCCGGCGGGGGCAACCCCAGGGAAAGCGCCACAGAGAAGAGACUGCCCUGCUUGACGGGGCGAUGGUGAAACGGUGGGGUAAGAGCCCACCGCGGUACUGGCAACAGGACCGGCACGGCAAGCCCCACCCGGAGCAAUGCCAAAUAGGGGCCUCGCGCGGGGGCCGGUCUCGAAAGGGAUACCGCCCGCAGGGAUGCCAACGCCCGAGAGGCCCGGGUUGGCAGCUUGACCGCCGUGGCGACACGGUUGGCAGAGGAAUGGUCAUCCAGCCCCGGAUCACGGUCCGGGGUGGACAGAAUCCGGCUUACAGGCUCUCCGCGCGC